ACACCUAUGGUGAAACGGUAUCAUGCUUGCCUUCCAUUAGAGUAGCUCUUCUGUUAGCAAGCGGCGCGGGUUCGACUCCCGCUGGGUGUA
rfam:Sphaerobolus stellatus SS14 unplaced genomic scaffold SPHSTscaffold_13, whole genome shotgun sequence.